UACGGGGGGGCAAGCGUUGUUCGGAAUUACUGGGCGUAAAGGGCUCGUAGGCGGCCAACUAAGUCGGACGUGAAAUCCCAGGCUCAACCUGGGAACUCGCGUCCGAUACUGGAUGGCUUGAAUUCGGGAGAGGGAUGCAGAAUUCCAGGUGUAGCGGUGAAAUGCGCAGAUAUCGGGAGGAACACCAAUGGCGAAGGCAGCUCGCUGGGACGUUACGUGACGCUGAGACGCGAAAGCGUGGGAG
rnacentral:rRNA from 1 species